rnacentral:sRNA from 2 species
AAUGCUUAAACGCUGAAUCGAUUAAAAAGAGCGGAGGAACCAUGUACGUGGGGUGAAGCAAUUUUUUUGCCAGGCGACCUUUGCCGUCUGAACCCGUCAGCUAACUUCGUAAGCGUGGCAAGGGAGAAGGU